GGAAUUUCUCCUAGUUUCCUCUAUUGAUAAUUUUGAGUGCUUGGAAUGAAAGGGGUUUUUCACAUAUGAAUUCAAGUAGGCCAAUUGAACCCAAAAAUCCAAACUUUUUUGUUCUCAUUUAUGAUUUUAUCCAAAGGUUCCAAUUUUGGAUUAAUUAACCUAAACUUUGAAAUUCAAAGAAAUCAAUUUGGGGGUUAUCGACUUAUAUUGUUAACUCAUAACACUUGCCACAUAAUAAAAAGACCCGACUAUGGUAAAAUACAUUUGUUUAGAGACCUACAGAAUCAUUUUCACUAGACUACAGGCUGUUGCUGCUGAUUAA
rnacentral:misc_RNA from 1 species